UUGACCUCGGAUCAGGUAGGGAUACCCGCUGAACUUAAGCAUAUCAAUAAGCGGAGGAAAAGAAACCAACAGGGAUUGCCUCAGUAACGGCGAGUGAAGCGGCAAGAGCUCAAAUUUGAAAGCUGGCUCCUUCGGGGUCCGCAUUGUAAUUUGCAGAGGAUGCUUCGGGAGCGGCCCCCAUCUAAGUGCCCUGGAACGGGCCGUCAUAGAGGGUGA
rnacentral:rRNA from 1 species